UUGUGUAUUUUUUGGUAGUCUUUCUUUUCCUCCUCUUUCUUUCUUCUUGAGAAGCAACUGCCUUAGAUUUCCCCACCGCCUCUUCACCUUCCUCCCGGAGUAUAUGGUCAGCUGAAUGUGUAGUCUUUGCAUGUUGCUGAAUAUAUGCUCCAAUUGAAGCAAGCAACUUAUUUUUUGGUCCAAUUAAUUGGCCGGUGUUCACAUGAGGGGUAUUAAUCGAUUGUGAAGCCUUAAAUCAAAGUUGUUCAUCUGCAUAUAUGUCAAAGACCUAAUUGGAUUUGUUAUUUCCAUCUCUAACUAGAAGUCACCUGGUUGAUGCUUUAGUGACGCAGGCCGCCGCCCAUCGCUUAUAUCAUAUGCUUCUGAUCGUUAGCAAAAGACUUCAUGCAUGUCGAUUUAAGGUAUGUCAGCUGUGCCUCCACCACGUCUUCCAAUUUCUGAACCAGUUGACAUGGUGCUUACUUCUUAAAAAACAAACCCUUUUUGAUGGUUGAUUUGCGCUGGAAACAGCGGUCCAAGAUGACGUCUCCGACUUCCCAGUUGCAGGUAGUUUUCUCUCUUGCACUAGGUAUGGCGUUCAGGGACCGCUAACGUCUCUCCGUCCCAGAUAUAUGAUGUUAUCUGUUUGCCUGAUUCACCAGCUUGCUAUCUUGCGCGUGCAUACCUCCCUCUUAAGAAAACUGAUAUUAUUCUUAUUUAUUUUUUCCGACGACACCGUUGCCUCUCUUGUUCCCGAGAAACAUGAUCUUAAACCUAAUCUCCUCAAAUCACUCUCAGUGAAUAGUGAAGUUUGUUAUUGAGGAAGCCUUGCCAUUUAGAGUUUGGAUGGGUGUUAUAUUUUGAGUAAAAGAAUUUGAUCAUGGCAACUCUGGACGUUUUCUGAGGAAGAAGACUUGGAGAGAAGUUGAGAUUAAUGCCCCUCUUCCCGACUUUCGUUUCAUUCCCUCUGGUUUCCUUUUCCCUAAUUCUUUAUUUUUUAAAGCUGCAAAAUAUCAUUAACAACUUCUCCCUAAUCUUUUCCACCUUGAAUUUUUUAUUCAACUUCAAUGGUGUCGGAUGUAACAAGCCCUCACAGAGUUGAAUACAUAAAGAGAUUAAGGGAUUUAGAUUUAUGUUGAUACCCUUCGGUUCUCUUUCUUCUAACAGCUCCUUUUUAUGCUUAUUUUCUUUUUAGCUAUUUAUCAAUUGGUUAUUUUAUUGAUAGAAAAUGUUACGGAUUUGGGGAACAUAUGGUUGCUUUUGGAUGUCAAAGACUUGUUUUACAGGACCCAAUCUGUGGUUUUUUAGUUUCCGAAAUGCAGGUAGCUCGCCUUCGGUAAUUGGUCUUGGAAGAAUUACCAAUUACAUUGGAUAAGUACUAAUUAACUACUGGUAUGUUAUUUGCAGAAUGGAUAUUUCCUAUCUAAAAGUAGAUUUAGAAACAUAUAAACUUGAUGAAUCCCUUUAACUUGACUAACAUAUGGUAUAAAAAAAUCUUCUACAUUGAGUAGAUAGACACACAACUGAUAGAAUUGCUUUCUAUCUCUGAAGGUCCAAUACUCCAACUCUAAUUUAAGGAGUCGGUGAGUGCCCUUUCACACCAAAUUUAAAGAAGCUCCAUGAAAUUUGGUCUAACUAGGGAAGACAUAACAAGGAUCUUUUGUCAUUUUGUUUUUUAAUUUUCAUAAUUUUGAAGCUUGAAAUUUGGAGAUUGAGAUGGAAAAUAAGAGUUACUAAUUUUUUACAAUUAUGUCAAAAUGGUUGAAAUUAAGCAGUUUCCCUCGAUAUUUUUCCCUCUUUUGGCUUUUCUUUUUUGGUAUUAUUUUCCAAUAAAAGAAGAGGUAUUGGUGGAGUUGUUUUGAAGUUGGAAGUGGUUACAGCAGAAGAACUAGCUGCUAACUUAUUGUUUUCCAUUGAUGAAAACAUCGGUGGUGGAGGUUCUUUUGCACAGGUCACUGAACGAUUUCAAUCAUGUGCUUCAUGUUUUUUUUUUUUUUUUUGUCAAAGUGUAUGCCUUUUAGAGAAGAUGACCUAGCCUUUUAAUCCGAGUCUUAUAAUCAAUAAACAUGUUGCAGGUGGUUGCUGUUGAUAGAUAUAAUUUGGUGCUUCAUUCAUAGUACUAUCUACCAGUAAUGAAAUUUUAUUGAUAUUUUUCUUUGGUUUUAAAUUUAAGGCAUUUAUGAAGUUGAAUCUAUAAAACCUAAUGAUGGAGGGAUUGAUUUUUAAUAACUUCGAAUUUUUAGU